CGCAGGGCUGUCCGAUAGGGCGCAGUAUCGUCGCGACCGCCGUCGCGUGCACGUCGAUUUUUCCGUGCGUUUACGUGUUUUCAUCGCGAGUGCGUCUGCACCAGCUUUUCCCUCUCCGUCGGACUCUCUGCCACCUCGUCUCGUUUCCCUCCUCCUCCUCAUCCCUCGUCACUCUUUCUCUUUCUCUCUCUCUCUCUCUCUAUCUAUCUAUCUAUCUAUCUAUCUAUCUAUCUAUCUUUCUCUCUUUUUAUCAGUCCACCUUGUCCAGCUCCGUUCCCCGAAAAAAAACCAGUCCUCUAAUCGCAGCCUCGUGCGCUCGGAGAAUCUCCCAUCGGACAAUAGGAGACACCGCGAGUCCCUCGAGCGGUCGCGAAGUGUUUCUGGCUCCAGAAAUCCUAUCAGCCCAACAGAUCGGCCGGGAGAAUUGCUGGAGUUGGAGUUGUAUGCAUCUGUUGCAGAACUGCGCUUCAUUGCUGGAGAACGAGAUUCUAGCUAGAACUCUCGAAACCAUGGCGAAAAAACAUCGUCACUGUCGUCUGCAUUAAGCCCAAGGGGUCGGCGAGGGGGUACACGUAGAUCCUUGAGAGGCGAGGAAGGAGCGGGCAGAGCAAGAAAGAAGGUGAAAACUGUUCCAGUGAUCCUUCUAGAUAGAGGUCAAUGGAGCCAUCCUGAUGCAGGCUGCAAAACUACGUGGGGAUUACCCGACGUGGUCGUUGGGCUGAUUUCAACGGGGAACAGUGGCGAUUCCACCCGCGGGUGGAAGCGCCGUUUUCAUCACCGCCAACGGCGAAUACUACAGCCACUUCCACUUCCUCCACCCCACGUGGCCGAACCAUUACCUGAUAAGAGCUGGAGAAGCGGCCGCAGCCGCAGCCGCCUCGGAGCUCUGAGGAGCUGGAGGAUCUGCACAAGCUGCUGAGCUUCCCCGAGGAGG